GACGUACGCUGGCGGCGUGCCUAACACAUGCAAGUCGAGCGGAGGUAGACAAGGAGUAAUCUGAGUUUACCUUAGCGGCGGACGGGUGAGUAACGCGUGAGCAACCUGCCUUUCACAGGGGGAUAAGGCGGCGAAAGCCGCUCUAAUACCGCAUGAGACCACGGUGAUGAUAUUACAGGGGUCAAAGGAGCAAUCCGGUGAAAGAUGGGCUCGCGUCCAAUUAGGUAGUUGGUGGGGUAGAGGCUCACCAAGCCAAUGAUCGGUAGCCGGCCUGGGAGGGUGAACGGCCACAUUGGAACUGAGAGACGGUCCAAACUCCUACGGGAGGCAGCAGUGGGGAAUAUUGGGCAAUGGGCGAAAGCCUGACCCAGCAACGCCGCGUGAAGGAAGAAGGUUUUCGGAUUGUAAACUUCUGUUCUUGGGGAAGAGAAGAAGACGGUACCCAAGGAGGAAGCCCCGGCUAACUACGUGCCAGCCGCCGCCGUAA
rnacentral:rRNA from 1 species